rnacentral:lncRNA from 1 species
AAAAGUAUGUACCAAAUCCUCAGGCCGUUAAAACCAUCUUGCUGAAAUUGUCUGCUCCAGACAGAAAGAUAUUUUACUGAAUGCUUGGUUAUGUGGUUUUCCUCCUCAGAUUGCUGUGAGAGCACGUUUCAUGAGGCAUAUCAAAGUUGUCUCGUGGGCAAAACCAUGUAAAUAACAAACAUGUCAGUUUUUUAACAUCUGCUGGAGAGAAACAGCAAGCCACGUUGCCUUAACUGUGCAGACAGUUCUCUGAGAUAUGAGAGAAAAGAAGGAUUUUGUAGCAUCUCCAGGCCUGGGACUAGGACUGGUCUCAGCUGUGCCUGUAGCCCUUCAGAUGACUGUUGUGAAGUCGCAGAAAGUGUUUUUUAUGCCUCAGUCUUCAUCUGUAUUUGUAAGACGACUGUGUAUCUGUUCUGGGUUAUGCUAAUUAAAUCUAUAACACAAGGCCCGCACGUUACUUGUCUGACUCCUGAGUUCCAGUCGUUCCUACUCCUGUGACACACAGGCUUGGUUUAUGCUCCUGAGAAGAGUUUACUGCAGCACUUCAGGAUUUGAGGUUUCUCUGUUGCACUGGAUCCUCAUCCCUAAUGCAGCUAAUACAUGGAAGAAGAACAAGCUUUCCUAUUCCUUGCCUUAAUCCCCUGCGUGGUUGCUUAGGGUGAAUCAUUAACCAAGCACCUAAGUAUGGUGAAGCAAAAAUGUUUGUUGAGUGUCUUUGCAGACAGCAUGGAGUGGAGGCCUUCUGCAGGAGGAAUGGCUCUGCUCUCAUGCAGGAGCUGCAGCACUGCCAUCUGCUCGCUCAACCGUUUCCUCCAGCUCUACACCUCAGCUUAUGCACUGAUGGGCUGAAGCUGCUUCUGCUUUUGGGAUGAGAAAAGGGAACGGUAGAUGUAUCCUGGAGAAAGGAUUUAAGAGAUCUUUCUGUUUGCCUUGGGCUGUGAUUUCCUGUGGGCAAUGAUGGAGGAACAGCACGGUCUAGAUAAACUCUACUUAACUUGCUUAUUGGGAUGGAGGUGGAUUGGCUUUGUCCUUUUUCCAGGAGUCAAGACUGAAGAAUUACAGAAAUACUGCAGUGUUAUCAAGUGGAUCAUUUAAAUGAAUAUGGUAGGAAGGAAAGUAUCAAGGUUACCGACUGGAUUCCUGGAGCAGAUGAGUAGACCUUCAUGGCCAGACAACAGAGCAAGCUGACGAAGUCCAUGUAGCCAACUCUGCAGUCAAAACCAAAGUGCUGGGACUCAGAAGGUCUCGCUUCUUAAUUUAACUGCGUGUAAACAAAGAAAUGCUGUUGGCCCUAUUAAUCUCAGCGCAGGCCUGAGGGAUAAUGGCAGAUGACUCAUGGACCAGACACCAGUGACAACGCAUUACUCCGUGUCUGUUGGCCAAGUGCUACUGACUGAAAUCACUGGCUCUACCUCAAUUCACUGCAGCAAAGUGUCUGGUCUUGCUUGGAUUUGCUUGAGAAAUGACCUUUAUUUUUCUUAUCCGCAUUCUCACCUUAUGCAGUCUCCAUGUGUGUGCCAAAGUCACCUCCCCUGCAAGGGUGGACAGAUUUAGAGAUGCUCAAAAUGGCACAGUGAGGGUGUGUGGUUUGCUCUCCUGCUUUUGCUUAACUGGCCAGCAAGUGAACUGGGAGUAAGCAGGUCAGCUCAGGAACAAAGAAGAAGGA